CCUCACUUUGCUUUGUGUGGCAAGCUUUGGCCAAAUUCUCCUGUCCUUUAGACAGUGGAAACCGAAGACCAUUUAGGUUAUGUCUACACUACGCAGCUGUUUGCGACAAGGCUGUGUCGACAAAGCGCCGUUUACACUUGCACUUGCCACAGCAAAACUUUUGUCGUUCAGUUGCAAGUGUAGCCUAAGCUACAGCCCCUGAGCUCUGCCUUGCCUGCAGUGAGGGCACUCUGCAGGCAGGCCGUACAGCGCAGGCUGGCACUGCGUGAUGGCACAGCUGAGAUUCAAUUCCAUGCAGAGAACGACAUUAAAAAAAAGUUCCGGUGGCGAAGUCAAGCAUGUAAACACUGUGAAGUGCCAGAAUUAAGGUGCCUGAACAGCCAGAUCACCAGCCUCAAGAGUCGACAGCUCAGGUUGGAGCAUCAGAGGCAGGAUUUUUAGUGCAGUCACAGUAGCUUUAUUUCUCUGUGGGCUCCAUGGGAGUGUUGACAUUGACUCCGAUAGAAGCAAGAUCAAGCCCUAUAUAGGCAACCUGGGGGCUUGGGGCCAACUGCUAGAAAGGUCCAGGUGCUGCACCUUGGUUUCUGCUGCAUUGUUUUCCCAGAAGCCAUUGGUGUCCAGACUUUUUGGCUUACUCUGACAAGCUACAGUUGAUCUCAUUUUGAAGGUACAGCCUGAGUGUCUCCGUUUUGAUGGCACAGUCUGGGGACACACAUUGUCAGGCUGUAGGAGGAUUCGGGUUUUAUCUUUGACCCCUGCCCCUCGUAGUUUAUGCAGCUGUAGCCAUGGAUCUCAGCAUGCUCAGAGCUGCACACCUCAGGGGGUCAUGGGAAGGAAAUGGCUUGGGGACGUUCCCCUCUGGGAGCCCCAUGACCCGCUCCUGGGGGCACGCAGAUCCCAGAGCUCUUCGGCUUGGUUGGAGGAAUUUAUGGUGUCUGCCAUGACUCGGAAAGCUGCACAUCUCUUCAGAUACCCACUAAGAGCAUCCCGACUGCAAACAGCAAGCGUUGCUGAUGUCUGGCUCACAGGCCAGAGAGCCCAUCUAGUGGGUUGUAAAGAAUGAGACAUGGGAGGAGCACAGACAUGAGGAGAAGUUCAUACCAGGGUGGUUUGAGCAGGGGUUCACGGGCGCACUGACACCCACAAAAACCCUGCAGUGGUCUCUUCUGUCCCACAGGGCUGGGCCUGGCUCCCUGCUGUGGGUGUUGUGACCUGGGGGUUCUGACUACUUGCAGCAACACCUUCCACCUCUGCACUGUGACCCUAAACCCAGCCUGAUGGAAAGGGGCAAUGGGGGGAGCGGCUGUAGAGUGAGCCUGUCCCACACUCAGCCUGCAAUGGGGAGUCAGGCACAGCCCCAUGGGACAGGACACAGCACUGCAGGAUGAGUGUGGGCUGGGCUCACUCUCCAGCCCCCUGCCCUCUGGCCUCCCCUUGGCAUUUGGCGGGGAUUGGGGCUGCGGUGCUGAGGCAGCAGGUGCUGCUGUGGCUGGUCUAUGCCCCCUCAGUGGGCUGAGGAGGAGGAGGAAGGGGCAGUGGCAGGGAAGAGCAACCCAUUGAAUCGGGAGGCUCCCUCCACCACUGGCUCACACAGACAAAUGUUUCCCUGGGACUCCACAGCUCCAAACUGAUGGGGGUCCUUUAACUUCCUCGAUACACGCUGUGCAAGCAGAAGGGGGGGGGGUGUGACUCCACGUUCUCCAACCUACUUCAAGCCGCUGCUUGAUACGGGAUCCUCGCAGGGAGCAGGGCCGGCACUCCCCAGUGGGGCUGGCCAGAGUCUGACUCCGAGCUCUUCAGCUGUAAGACUCAGAACUGACCCAUGCAGAAUCUGCACUUUCAGAAGUGGGACAAAGAGCUAAAGUGAGGUACCCUCAUUACAAACAAAGGAGGCUUCAAAUUGCAAGUGAGAUGGAAUCUGCCCCUUGGUGAAUCCGAGGUGCUCUCGACCUUCAGCUCCUUAGUGCCAGAUGGUGACCAGCCACUGCAAAGGGGUGAAGAGUGGAGGGAAGGUUUCAGAGCCUUUCCCACCACCUGACACCUUCUGUGCAGGGGCCAGUCACAUGAGCGUUCCUGGUGCUCAGGCAAGCACACAAGCUGAAACCCCAUGGCAGUGGGGAGGACUUGGGGCCACAGCAAUUGUUGCACUGCAGAGCUGGCCGGCCAUGAUGGCGGUGGGUGGGAGGGGGGGCACACUGCAGCAUCUCAGACACUUCUGUGACUGGGGGAGAUCCAGGAGGCAAUAUCUCCUGCAGCCCCUUGGGCUGGUGCAGCUGUGCACCACCGCCAGGACAGCCAUUGAUUCACUGUUACUGUUGUCUCUUAGUGCGCCCAAGAGGACUCCAGGCUUAGGAAGAGGGCACCAGGGAAUCCAGGGUUAUUUCAGAUCAUUCAAGAGAGCUGGAGCUGAAUGAAAGAAGUCUCUGUCAUAUCCCUGCUUAAAGAUUUUAUUAUUUCCCUUUCAUUUUCUCUUAUUACAGAGCUAAUUUUUCUUGGAAACUAGCUGUGAUCACAUGAAAGACCUGACAGAAACCAUUUCUGGUUCUGUGAGUUGAGUUUGCCACAAUUAAAACUGAAAUCACCACCUGCCAUCUGGGAAUGGGAUAAGCCGUGAACAUUAGACUUUCAAGUAAUAAAGCAGAGAAGUUUUACCAUUAAAGUCACUCUUAUCAGU